rnacentral:rRNA from 1 species
GAGUUUGAUCGUGGCUCAGAUUGAACGCUGGCGGCAUGCUUUACACAUGCAAGUCGAACGGGCUUAGGGGCUUGCUCCUAAGUUAGUGGCGAACGGGUGAGUAAUGCAUCGGAACGUACCGUGUAGUGGGGGAUAACCCGGCGAAAGUCGGAUUAAUACCGCAUACGAUCUAAGGAUGAAAGCAGGGGAUCGCAAGACCUUGCGCUAUACGAGCGGCCGAUGUCGGAUUAGCUAGUUGGUAGGGUAAAGGCCUACCAAGGCAACGAUCCGUAGCGGGUCUGAGAGGAUGAUCCGCCACACUGGGACUGAGACACGGCCCAGACUCCUACGGGAGGCAGCAGUGGGGAAUUUUGGACAAUGGACGAAAGUCUGAUCCAGCCAUGCCGCGUGAGUGAAGAA